rnacentral:rRNA from 1 species
AGUGUAGGCGGCUACCUAAGUCGGAUGUGAAAGCCCUGGGCUCAACCUGGGAAUUGCAUUCGAUACUGGGUAGCUAGAGUUUGGUAGAGGUAAGUGGAAUUCCGGGUGUAGCGGUGAAAUGCGUAGAUAUCCGGAGGAACAUCAGUGGCGAAGGCGGCUUACUGGACCAAAACUGACGCUGAGGCUCGAAAGCGUGGGGAGCAAACAGGAUUAGAUACCCUGGUAGUC